GACGAACCGUGCGAACGUUAUUCGGAAUCACUGGGCUUAAAGCGCGUGUAGGCGGGAGGGCACGUCCGGCGCUGAAAUCCCCCGGCUCAACCGGGGAACGGGCGCGGAUACGACCUUCCUCGAGGGACGUAGGGGGACCUGGAACUUCCGGUGGAGCGGUGAAAUGCGUUGAGAUCGGAAGGAACGCCCGUGGCGAAAGCGAGGUCCUGGACGUCUGCUGACGCUGAGACGCGAAAGCCAGGGGGAGCGAACGGG
rnacentral:rRNA from 1 species